rnacentral:rRNA from 1 species
UGGGGAAUAUUGGACAAUGGGCGAAAGCCUGAUCCAGCCAUGCCGCGUGUGUGAAGAAGGUCUUCGGAUUGUAAAGCACUUUAAGUUGGGAGGAAGGGCAUUAACCUAAUACGUUAGUGUUUUGACGUUACCGACAGAAUAAGCACCGGCUAACUCUGUGCCAGCAGCCGCGGUAAUACAGAGGGUGCAAGCGUUAAUCGGAAUUACUGGGCGUAAAGCGCGCGUAGGUGGUUUGUUAAGUUGGAUGUGAAAGCCCCGCGCUCAACCUGGGAACUGCAUUCAAAACUGACUGGCUAGAGUAUGGUAGAGGGUGGUGGAAUUUACUGUGUAGCGGUGAAAUGCGUAGAUAUAGGA